CCCAACUAUCCCUAUUAAUCAUUACGUCAAUCCUAGAAACCAACAAAAUAGGAUCGAACGUCCUAUUUCAUUAUUCCAUGCUAAUGUAUUCAAGCGUUAGCCUGCUUUAAACACUCUAAUUUUUUCAAAGUAACAGUCCAGUUUCCCCGCAACACCAAAUUAAUGGCAUUACGGUUCAUCAGGAAGGAGGAAUCAGUGAGAUCAGUACAUACCGGAGGCACGACCAACCUACUAACCCCGAAAUUCAACUA
rnacentral:rRNA from 1 species